UGGCUUAGUCAGUAAAGAAUCUGCCUGCAAUGUAGGAGACCCAGGUUUGAUUCCUGG
rnacentral:tRNA from 1 species